AAGCGUGCGCAGGCGGUUUUGUAAGACUGUCGUGAAAUCCCCGGGCUCAACCUGGGAAUGGCGAUGGUGACUGCAAGGCUAGAGUUUGGCAGGAGGGGGGUAGAAUUCCACGUGUAGCAGUGAAAUGCGUAGAUAUGUGGAGGAACACCGAUGGCGAAGGCAGCCCCCUGGGUCAAAACUGACGCUCAUGCACGAAAGCGUGGGGAGCAAACAGGAUUAGAUACCCCAGU
rnacentral:rRNA from 1 species